rnacentral:rRNA from 1 species
UUGAACGCUGGCGGCAUGCCUUACACAUGCAAGUCGAACGGUAACAGGUCUUCGGAUGCUGACGAGUGGCGAACGGGUGAGUAAUACAUCGGAACGUGCCCGAUCGUGGGGGAUAACGCAGCGAAAGCUGUGCUAAUACCGCAUACGAUCUACGGAUGAAAGCAGGGGACCGCAAGGCCUUGCGCGGACGGAGCGGCCGAUGGCAGAUUAGGUAGUUGGUGGGAUAAAGGCUCACCAAGGCGACGAUCCGUAGCUGGGCUGAGAGGACGACCAGCCACACUGGAACUGAGACACGGUCCAGACUCCUACGGGAGGCAGCAGUGGGGAAUUUUGGACAAUGGGGGCAACCCUGAUCCAGCCAUUCCGCGUGAGUGAAGAAGGCCUUCGGGUUGUAAAGCUCUUUCAGCAGGAACGAAACGGUGGCCAUUAAUACUGGCUACUAAUGACGGUACCUGAAGAAGAAGCACCGGCUAACUACGU